rnacentral:misc_RNA from 1 species
AGAGAGAGAGAGAGAGGGAGAGAGUAUCAAUGUUAACACAAAGCAUGAAAAAUGUGCAAACAUGGGAAAAACAGCUCGCAUAAUUGCCUAUUAAAUUCCAGAAGGUCAUGGCAAAUAGAACAACUGAAACGAAAACUAUACAAUAGCCAAAAUCACAUUUAUUCCGCAGCCAUAUGGUAACCCCAACUCACCUCCCUUUGACGCAGUGCUGCUU